rnacentral:lncRNA from 1 species
UAGGACAGGAGGAGGAGGGAAGAGAAGGGAGCUGUGGGGCAGCGGCCAGGACCUUAAAGGCACAGAAGAGGAAGCUUGGAUUUCCAAUUCCAAAGGACAUGAGGAAAAUUCACACACCUUUAUUUAACCUGCUCCAGGUGAGGCUGGGUUUUGUGUAUUUUCCUUGUUUUACUUUUCCUUGUGUUCAGGCUGUUGUAGAAACAGGUACACAGGGGCUCUGUGUGGCGCCCUGUUCUAGUUGCCUUCAGGAAGCAUGGGGUGCCCUGGCCUUGGCUUCGUGUCCCCCUUUCCUCCUGCCACCCCUGACUCUGCCCCCCACCUGGUCCCUCAGAACAUCUUCCUGGAAGGGCCUGGCCAGGGCUUGUGUCCUUGCUAGUCUCUGGGGAGGAAGACUCUGUGGCUUGAAAGGCUGUCGGCUUAAGUUGCAAGGUGUAGUGUAAUCCCAGGACUUUUGGAGGCUAAGGUGGGCAGGCCAGGAGUUUGAGACCAGGUGGCCAAAAUAGUGAAACCCUGUCUCUACAAAAAAUACAAAAGUUAGUCGGGCUUGGUGGUGCAUGCCUGUAAUCCUAGUUAUUUGGGAGGCUGAAGCAAGAGAAUCCCUUGAACCCAGAAGGAGCAGGUUGCAGUGAGGAGCAGGUUGCAAUGAGGAGGAGGUUGCAGUGAGGAGGAGGUUGUAGUGAGGAGCAGGUUGCAGUGAGGAGGAGGUUGCAGUGAGGAGGAGGUCGCAGUAAGGAGGAGGUCGCAGUGAGGAGGUCGCAGUGAGAAGGAGGUUGCACUGAGGAGGAGGUUGUAGUGAGGAGGAGGUUGCGGUGAGGAGGAGGUUGCAGUGAGCCGAGAUUGUGUCCCUGGACUCCAGACUGGGCAAUAGAGCGAGACUAUGUCUCCAAAAAAAAAAAAAAAAAAUUAUAUAGAAAACAGAAAGCAAAACUACCUCUUGAUUUGCUUUUCUUGAUCUUGCAUCUCAGAGGUAACACUGGGAAGGGUUGGGGUAUACCUCUCCCCACCUUUUUCUUUGAUUUAUUUUUAUUUUUUAUUCUACGUUCUGAGAUACAUGUGCAGAAUGUGCAGGUUUGUUACAUAGAUAUACAUGUGCCAUGGUGGUUUGCUGCACCUAUCAACCCGUCAUCUAGGUUUUAAGCCCCGCAUGCAUUAGGUAUUUGACCUAACGCUCCCCCUCGCCUUGUCCCCCACCCCCGAUGGGCCCCGGUGUGUGAUGUUCCCCUACCUGUGUCCAUGUGUUCUCAUUGUUCAACUCCCACUUAUGAGUGAGAACACACCGUGUUUGGUUUUCUGUUUCUGUCCACAGCUUUUUCCUCUGUGCACACAAGCACAUGUAUUUGCAC